UACGAAGGGGGCUAGCGUUGCUCGGAAUCACUGGGCGUAAAGGGUGCGUAGGCGGGUUUUUAAGUCAGGGGUGAAAUCCUGGAGCUCAACUCCAGAACUGCCUUUGAUACUGGCGAUCUCGAGUCCGGGAGAGGUGAGUGGAACUGCGAGUGUAGAGGUGAAAUUCGUAGAUAUUCGCAAGAGCACCAGUGGCGAAGGCGGCUCACUGGCCCGGUACUGACGCUGAGGUGCGAAAGCGUGGGGAGCAAACAGG
rnacentral:rRNA from 1 species